ensembl:lncRNA
CUUGAGGGGGGGGUCGUGAUAGGUCAAUAGGAAUUAAACGUCUUCUGCAUACAACGUUUACAUAAACGAGAGAAAGAAACGUCAUUGAAGGGGGGAGCAGCUGAUAGUUGAAGCAGCAAGCGUCAUCUUGGACCGUAGAGAAGUGCCACACAGAUAGGUUUAGAAAAUUCUGGAAACUUUUACCCAAAUUCCCCAGAAAUGUCAGCCGGAAUUAAGAGGGAAUAAGCAGAACACACCAAAAUCCUCUAAAAACCGGGAUUUCUGGAAAAUUUGUGUUUUUUUUUUUAAUGUAAGCCGCACACACAGACCAAACAUGUACAUUCACUCAUUUUAUACAGACUCAUAUCAUUUCUUAAGAAGAAAAACAACCUUCGGGUGCAUCACUGGUAUUCACCAUCAGGCUGGUGACAAUUAAAUACAAUUUUUUAUAUUUUUUUUAAAGAUCAUUACCCAUGAUGCACCACACAGGAAAGUACAGUCAGCAAAAAAACAAACUGGCUUCCAUUUUGAACAUUGUUUAUUUUGUACAUAUUCAGCUCUGUGCAGUGGAAUACAACUGUGAAUGUAAAAAGGUCAUUCUGUAAAUGGGAAGGAGAGUAAAAGCAGAAAGUAUCUAAACAUUUUUUUAAACUACCCACGUUUGACUACCCAAACAACAACCGGACUUGAAUUUAAAAUAAUAAAAAAAUAUUGGGUAGGUCCCCAAAUGGCACCCCGGUCACCAUAAGGCUCGAGUCAAAAGUAGUGCACUACAUAGGGAAAAGAGUGCCAUUUGGGGACGCACUCUGGUGGGGGGGGGGCAGGAAAGCAUAUUGUUGGACACAAACACACCUACGAAAACACCCACAUUCUCGGUGUUGUCCAGAAUGAGAGAAAAAAAAAAAAACUUUCCAAGAAAACACAAGCUCUUUCUUUCUGACCUCACGUUCCCUUUAAACAAAUGAUUAUACCGCUAUAAUAAACCCCAAGACAUUCUCCAGUAAUGCAGUGACAGCUGUUUGUGGUUGUUUGGUUGUUUGAAAGCACAAAGUUAAGGCACAACCAGGUCAACAACCGCUGCAGGGGGACAGGACUGCACCAGGUUAAUUAAAACAUUUUUUAAUUUUUUUUAAAUGUGCAUCAUUUUGUACAAUUUACAGCAAUCCCACUUUCAACUUCACACAGCACCCCCCCCCAACAAAAUAUACAAAUAAUCUUAAUGGUGGCGAUUCCUUUGAUCUUGAAGCAUUAUGAAUGUGUUAAUUGUUUGACGACAACAUCAAAUCCAGCUCACGUGCAAAUCAUUCAGGACUUUACAGUCUCCAUUUAGACACAACAGGUGGGUGGAAUAGGAGGGGGGGUGCAUAUCAAAAUGGCACCCUAUUCCCCUAAAUAGUACACUACUUUGGGUUGAAAAAGAGGCUGGCGUUUGGAACACGGCCACGUGUAGCUUUGUACUUUAAACUAAAAACAAUGUUUAAAUGAUUGUGAAUCAUUUCUGCAUCAAUGUUAAAACACUGUUUUAUUUCCGUGUUACACAUCUAAAAAAAAACACAACGGGUUUUGUGUGUUCUCUCUCUGCAUCAUUUCUGACUAUAAUAAUAUUACAUGAGGUCUGCGUUUAAUCAACAACAACGGCUGGAUACAAUUAAAGAACCACAAAUAAACAAAACAAGUCUAAAUGACUUUCAACAUGGCAGGAGAAAGAGUUCGCUCACGUCCAAAAAAUGAACCCUAUUCCCUAUAUAGUGCACUACUUUAGACCAGAGCCCUAUUCCCUAUAUAGUGCACUACUAUAGACCAGAGCCCUAUUCCCUAUAUAGUACACUACUUUAGACCAGAGCCCUAUUCCCUAUAUAGUGCACUACUAUAGACCAGAGCCCUAUUCCCUACAUAGUGCACUACUAUAGACCAGAGCCCUAUUCCCUACAUAGUGCACUACUUUAGACCAGAGCCCUAUUCCCUAUAUAGUGCACUACUUUAGACCAGAGCCCUAUUCCCUAUAUAGUGCACUACUAUAGACCAGAGCCCUAUUCCCUAUAUAGUGCACUACUUUAGACCAGAGCCCUAUUCCCUAUAUAGUGCACUACUAUAGACCAGAGCCCUAUUCCCUACAUAGUGCACUACUUUAGACCAGAGCCCUAUUCCCUAUAUAGUGCACUACUAUAGACCAGAGCCCUAUUCCCUAUAUAGUGCACUACUUUAGACCAGGGCCCUAUUCCCUAUAUAUUGCACUACUUUAGACCAGGGCCCAUAGGGGUAGUGCACUACUUUAGACCAGGGCUCAUAGGGGUAGUGCACUACUAUAGACAAGGACCCAUAGGGUAGUGCACUACUAUAGACCAGGACCCCAUAGAGGUAGUGCACUACUAUAGACCAGGACCCCAUAGAGGUAGUGCACUACUAUAGACCAGGACCCCAUAGAGGUAGUGCACUACUAUAGACCAGGACCCCAUAGGGGUAGUGCACAACUUUAGACCAGGGGCCCUUAGGGGUAGUGCACUACUUUAGACCAGGGCCCCAUAGGGGUAGUGCACUACUUUAGACCAGGGCCCCAUAGGGGUAGUGCACUACUUUAGACUAGGGCUCCAUAGGGGUAGUGCACUACUUUAGACUAGGGCUCCAUAGGGGUAGUGCACUACUUUAGACCAGGGGCCCUUAGGGGUAGUGCACUACUUUAGACCAGGGCUGCCUGAGGGAGGAAAGAUACUUAAAAUGGCCGCCAAUAUAGAGUUAAGACAGAAAACCAAAGAAGCCAAAAAAUACAACAUGGACGACUAACUGAUCGCUCACGUUAUCAGCCCCCCUCUUCUCUAAACUCCUUUCAAUCGAAGACGUAGGCCCCCUGGGGGGGGGUUGCACCAACACCACCUGCCAAAAUCACUGUCUCGCAACAAGUUAUCCUCCCAAUGUCUCACAAACGCUUCCACUUCUGGAUACAAAAUCUGAUGCAGUCAGUAUGUUAAAAGAGUAUUGUAGCUAGUAGGCAGGAGAAGAGAGAGAGAGAAAAAAAAAGAGAGCUUAUGGUUUUUGUCUUUAUUAAUACAGAUCAUUCAAAAGGAAGCCACCGCCACCAGCCUGCCUUUCCUCCGCCGGCUCGACUAAAAACUAAAGAAAAUGCAAUAAGGGAUUACAUUCUCCAGGAAAUAAACAUUCAGAUUAUUGGUAUAAAUUCAAAAGCUUAAAUAGGAGGCUUUAACUUUAACCUGCACAUAAAGCAAAUUCAAUGUAUAGCCCCAAACUCAACUCCUUGAAAAAUCAUGGGGCCAGUCUCGUUAAAAAAAGGGGAUGGAGGGAGGAGAGGAUGGAGGGAGGAGAGGAUGGAGGGAGGAGAGGAUGGAGAGAGGAGAGGAUGGAGAGAGGAGAGGAUGGAGGGAGGAGAGGAUGGAGGGAGGAGAGGAUGGAGGGAUGGAGGAGAGGAUGGAGGAUGGAGGGAGG